rnacentral:lncRNA from 1 species
UGUCAAGGAAUUUGGCUACAGUUGUCGUAUCCCUCUUGUUAAGCCACUCUUGAAGAUGCUGAUUUCAUUUUCCAGCAGGAUUUGGCACCUGCCCACAAUGCCAAAAGCACCAAAAGUUGGUUAAAUGACCAUGGUGUUGGUGUGCUUGACUGAAUGUAAAAAAAAAAAUUUUUUUGAAAAAUUUUGGAAACUGACAAUUAAAUAUUGACUCAACAAAUUGCUUUCAAAUAAUUAUCCCCAAACAAAAAGAUGCAUUGGGGUAAUUUUAGCUUAUGGUCUAAAGGUAAAAUUAAAAAAAUAGAUUCACUGAACAUAUUAAAUUGUGUUCAGCCAAUUCAUCAAGUAAAAGUGAAAUAUCUGUGUUUGCCGAACAAGCCUUGCGGAGAAAAAAAACGCAUGCGCAUGCCAGACAGGCGCAUGCACCUGAGAGAAACCGUUGGUAUAGUGGAUUCAAAUGUAUCUGCGCGGGAGAGUGAGGAGACUGAGGAGUCGAUGCUGAAGUACGACGACAGAAGUUCAGACAUCAUUAUGCCAAACAUCGUAGGUCAGACUCAACGGAACGGCUAACGUUACUACUUUCACAGUUUAGAAGAAGUCCAUGCAGUGCCGCUUCUGCAAGUUUUCAUCACCUCACCAAGACCUAAUUUUCAAGCACUACAGAACUUGCCAUUGGUCAGUUAUUGCAACUUCCUUUCCAUGUCUACACCUAGAAUGUGUUUUCAUUUCACAACUGUGAUUUUAGGGACAUCUGCUCUCAAUCAACAUUUCUUCACCAUUUAAGAGGAUAUCUUAAAAACCACGAGAGGGUUCAUUGUCCAUUUUUAAAUUGUAAUUUUAUUAGCAACAGUUACCGUACAUUAACAGCUCAUA